UACGGAGGGGGCCAGCGUUAUUCGGAAUUACUGGGCGUAAAGCGCACGUAGGCGGAUCAGAAAGUUGGAGGUGAAAUCCCAGGGCUCAACCUUGGAACGGCCUUCAAAACUCCUGGUCUUGAGUUCGAGAGAGGUGAGUGGAAUUCCGAGUGUAGAGGUGAAAUUCGUAGAUAUUCGGAGGAACACCAGUGGCGAAGGCGGCUCACUGGCUCGAUACUGACGCUGAGGUGCGAAAGCGUGGGGAGCAAACAGG
rnacentral:rRNA from 1 species